GGAAUAUUGGUCAAUGGACGCAAGUCUGAACCAGCCAUGCCGCGUGGAGGAUGAAGGUCCUCUGGAUUGUAAACUUCUUUUAUCUGGGAAGAAACCUACUUUUUCUAGAGUAGUUGACGGUACCAGAUGACUAAGCAACGGCUAACUCCGUGCACGCAGCCGCGGUCAUACGGAGGGUGCAAGCGUUAUCCGGAUUCACUGGGUUUAAAGGGUGCGUAGGUGGGCAGUUAAGUCAGUGGUGAAAUCUCCGGGCUUAACCCGGAAACUGCCAUUGAUACUAUCUGUCUUGAAUGCCGUGGAGGUAAGCGGUAUAUGUCAUGUAGCGGUGAAAUGCUUAGAUAUGACAUAGAACACCAAUUGCGAAGGCAGCUUACUACACGAAUAUUGACACUGAGGCACGAAAGCGUGGGGAUCAAA
rnacentral:rRNA from 1 species